rnacentral:rRNA from 1 species
GUCGAGAAUCUUCCGCAAUGCGCGAAAGCGUGACGGAGCGACACCGCGUGAUGGAUGAAGUCCUUCGGGGCGUAAACAUCUUUUAUAAAGGAGGAAAUUUUUGACGUUACUUUAUGAAUAAGGGGCUCCCAAUCUCGUGCCAGCAGGAGCGGUAAUACGAGAGCCUCAAGCGUUAUCCGGAAUCAUUGGGCGUAAAGGGUGCGUAGGUGGUGUGAUUAGUCUCCCGUUAAAACUUCGAGCUUAACUCGAAAAGAGCGGGGGAAACGGUCAAACUAGAGUAUGUGAGAGGUGUGUGGAACUCAUGGUGUAGGGGUGAAAUCCGUUGAUAUCAUGGGGAACACCAAAAGCGAAGGCAGCACACUGGCACAUCACUGACACUGAGGCACGAAACCUAAGGUAGCGAAUGGGAUUAGAUACCCCGGUAGUCC